CUAAAAUAUCUUGCAGCCUACAGGACAUUUGCCCGGUAUGCCAGACGUCCAGUCCGGGCCUGAUUGGAGUGGGUGAGCUGAUACGCCCCAAUAUAUCAGUCUGUGUCUAAUAGCACACUAGGGCGCUUGAAUUAAAUGUUCCGAACAGGAGGAGUAUGAAGCUGCACCAACACCACAGCAGGAUGUUCAUGCAUUCACUGAGGAGGAUGAGGAUGUCUAUGACGACACUACCUCCUAUAUCAGCCUCUUAAAGGUGAUAUGCAGCAGCCCAGGGCAUAUGAGGUGGAGGAUGUAUCAAGGCCUUCUCCAUCUACCUCGGAGACGACAUAUCAUGUUAUGGGGUAUGAACUCCAGCAGACUCAUCCUCCUCAACACUGGCAGUUAAUGCAUACUCUGCCAGGAAUGGAUAACUCCCCCCCCCACAGCUGUACCCACCGCAGCAGAUGCACCCACCACAGCAGAUGCACCCACCACAGCAGAUGAUGCACCCCCCCACAACAUCCCCCACAACAGAUUAUGCGUCCACCGCAGCAGCAUACAGAUCUGCAUCUUCUGUACUAUAUGCCUCCCACUCCUAUGGCACACCAGGAAUCCACACCACCACCCACUGCACCCACCAAUGUUUUGCCAACAGUGCCAUCACAGACAACCUCCCAGUCACCAAGACAGAGAGACACCUCUGGAACCAGCCAACAAUUGGUUCCUGAGACACCAACUCUACAACAGGGUCCGGCACAGGGUCCGGCACUGGCAGAGGCAGUGGAGAGGCUCGCGGAUAGGCCGCAAACUCCAUCCUCGCUUCCAUCCUCCGUCAUAUCCCUGCAGGACCCUGAAUCUCAUCUAUUAGCCUCACAUUCAGCCGGUGGGCGUGGCACAAGACCCACACUCCCCCCCCCCCAGUACCUCUCCUCCAACAGCCAAAUCCUGCCGCAAGAAUUAAGUAAUAUUAUUUAUUAUUUUUUCCCCCCAAGAUAUAUCAUAUCUAAUUUUUGCACUAAAACACUUUUUUAAGUGUGAUUUUCAUCUCAUAAAAAUGCAAACAUUUUUCUAUUCCAAAUUUAAAAAUAUAUUUAAAUAUUAUUCUAAUAGCUGUUUAUCUGCUAAAAAUUAACAGCUUUACUCAUUUGUAUUUCACAUGAUGUCAAUUAAUAUGCAGGUGUACAUUGUUAAUAAAUGUAUGUGUCCUUUUAUCGAGAAUAUUAUGCCAUUUAAGAAUCCUUGGGGAUACGUGUCUGAAAUAAAUGCAGUAUAUGCUCUCUAACAUUA